AUUGAACGCUGGCGGCAUGCUUUACACAUGCAAGUCGAGCGGCAGCGCGGGGCCAACCCUGGCGGCGAGCGGCGGACGGGUGAGUAAUGCAUCGGAACGUACCCUGGAGUGGGGGAUAACGCCGCGAAAGCGGCGCUAAUACCGCAUAUGCUCUGAGGAGGAAAGUGGGGGACCCGCAAAGGCCUCAUGCUCUGGGAGCGGCCGAUGUCCGAUUAGCUAGUUGGUGGGGUAAAGGCUUACCAAGGCGACGAUCGGUAGCUGGUCUGAGAGGAUGGUCAGCCACACUGGGAAUGAGACACGGCCCAGACUCCUACGGGAGGCAGCAGUGGGGAAUUUUGGACAAUGGGGGCAACCCUGAUCCAGCCAUGCCGCGUGAGUGAAUAAGGCCUUCGGGUUGUAAAGCUCUUUUGGUCGGGAAGAAAGGGCCUCUCUUAAUACGGGGGGUAUUUGACGGUACCGGCAGAAUAAGCACCGGCUAACUACGUGCCAGCCGCCGCCGUAAAAC
rnacentral:rRNA from 1 species